rnacentral:rRNA from 1 species
CCUACGGGUGGCUGCAGUGGGGAAUAUUGGGCAAUGGAGGCAACUCUGACCCAGCAACGCCGCGUGAAUGAUGAAGGUCUUCGGAUUGUAAAGUUCUUUUCUAGGGAAGAAGGAAGUGACGGUACCUUAGGAAUAAAGCCCGGCUAACUACGUGCCAGGAGGCGCGGGAAAACGGAGGAGGCAAGCGGUAUCCGGAAGGACUGGGCGUUAAGGGUGCGUAGGUGGUUUGACAAGUUGGUAGCGUAACUCCGGAGCUCAACUUCGGAACUACUACCAAAAAUGUUGGACUCGAGUGUAGGAGGGGCAACUGGAAUUUCUAGUGUAGCGGUGGAAUGCGUAGAUAUUAGGAAGAACACCAGUGGCGAAGGCGAGUUGCUGGACUGUAACUGACACUGAGGCACGAAAGCGUGGGGAGCAAACAGGAUUAGAUACCCCUGUAGUC